AAACGUUCGUUUUAUAUUUACUACACAACUUGAAUUAAUAAAUAACUGUUGGUCAGCUUUUUCCAAAUGUCAGUAUCAUUACAGUUUCCCGUACAUUAUGCCCGCCAGUUUUAUCGCUAUGUCGACGGCAUUCAAUAUUUCAUAAACACUACGUUUGAACUCAUGCUAUAUCAGCACACUAGCUAUGCAUACACAUUCCAUUUGCGUCGGCCUUUAAUGCUUAAUUUAUUUGAUAAGCAGCCGAUAAGCAUGUUUCUACCGCCCAGGCUCGGAAGUCAGUGAUCGUGAUACAUGAGAUAUAUACAAAUUUGUUAUGGUUUUAUGCAGGACCACUGCGUCUGGUGGACACUUUGCUUCAACAUAGAUAUAUAUAGUUCCAGUUUAGUCCUUACAUGUAUUAUUUCCGCAGUUCUUCAACACUAGUCCAAGGGCACUGAGGGAACGCUUAGAGCAUACAGACACACCGGGUUUACAUAUACUAGGCUAGUAUACAGGUUUAUCAUAUACUACUGCAGAGUAGGGUGUGAAGAGCAGCAUGGAGAUUCGAAGACACGUAUACUCAGCACGUAUAUAUGUCUGAACUUCUUAAGGAUAUGCAACUGAAUGUAUUGUAUUGGUGGAAACUCUGCCUUUGUUAAGUAUAUUAGAAAAUACAGAUACAGAUAUUAAAACCUUCGUUUUAUCGGAUGAAGACUUCAGAACUUUAUAGCACCGUUAUAUAUAGAAAACAUACCCUGAUGCCUGCCUUCAUAUAUAGUAUAAUGUGUUAGACAACAGUUCAACUUUUGUUUAUUAACCUAUCGUUUUCGGAUGCAGAAUUCAGAACUAUUAAGCACUGGAAUAUGAGGACAGCAAUAUCUUGAAGCAACUUCAGAACUAUAUAGCAACUGAAUAUAUAAGGAGGACGAUACCUUGAUUCAUGCAUUCAUAGUUAAUGUGUCAGAACUACAGUCACACUUCUUUAAGCAUUAAACACAAGAAUUUUAACUAUGUAAGAAAGAGUUAUUUUAUCCGUCUGGGUUAGAGAGAAGUUAUUACUGUUAUCACUCUUUCAGAACUGGUAGAGGGUCCUUUUUUAAGCACAACAGAAAUGUGUUGUUUUUAAAAUCUUCAGCGGCAGCAGCGGGAAUUGAAGAUCAUAUCAUACAAACACUUGGUAGUUGGUCAUCGGACUGUUAUAUCAGACAUAUAAGUACUGAUAAGAGAGUUAUUUCUAAAGCACAACAGAUAAUGUGUCAUUUUUGAAAUUAAUGUUUUGGUAAUGUUGUUUAUUUUUACAUAUGUGUUUUUAAGCAUUAUUAUUUCUUGGGGGCUUUCAUUCUUUCAUUAAUGAACUCAUUUCAUUUGGCCUUUUUAAUUCCAGGGGAAUCAUACUCCCCCAAUUCAAUAAUACAUCAGAUAGGUUCCUGUCGAGGAACAAAUAGGUAGUUUAAAGUAGUAUUUUUACUACGCUGGGAUCGCCCAGAAGCAAUUAGGUUCAUUCCUGGGGGUCGCCCCAGGAAUUAGGUUCAUUCCUGUCGAGGAACAAAUAGGUUCAUUCCUGGGGAUCGCCCCAGGAACAAUAGGCUCAUUCCUGGGGGUCGCCCCAGGAAAUAGGUUCAUUCCUGUCGAGGAACAAUAGG